rnacentral:rRNA from 1 species
UACGUAGGGGGCAAGCGUUGUCCGGAAUCAUUGGGCGUAAAGCGCGCGUAGGCGGCCCUGUAAGUCCGUUGUGAAAGUCAAAGGCUCAACCUUUGAAAGCCGGUGGAUACUGUCGGGCUCGAGUCCGGAAGAGGCGAGUGGAAUUCCUGGUGUAGCGGUGGAAUGCGCAGAUAUCAGGAGGAACACCAAUGGCGAAGGCAGCUCGCUGGGACGGUACUGACGCUAAGGCGCGAAAGCGUGGGGAGCAAACAGG